ACUCACACAGAUCUAGAUGGCAUAGCCUACUCCGUACCUAGGCUGUAUGGAAUAGCCAAUUACUCCUAGGCUACAAACCUGUACAGUCUGUUACUGUACUGAAUACUGUAGGCAAUUGUAACACAAUGGUACUUGUGUAUCUAAACAUAGAAAGGUACGGUAAAAAUAUGCUAUAAAAUAUAAAAAAUGGCAUACUUGUGUAGGGCACUUACCAUGAAUGGAGCUUGCAGGACUGGAAGUUGCGCUGGUCCCCAGAUAGCAGAUGACUGGUAGGAAGAUGAGGCAAGUUUGCGGUCCAUUGUCAUGGAUAGUGGAGACAACACUGGGCCAGAAGUGGUAAGACCUGAAUCCAAGACUCAGCUCUGCCACUUGCUAAAUGGGACUUUGAAUAAACCAUUUCUCUGCACUUAAGUUCCUUACCAACAAAACGAGGGAAGUGGCCUACAUGCCUAGAUAUCAACAUUUCAUGUCACGUAGAGAUCUAGCAUCACAAGAAUCCAAGUCAUCCUCUGUUGCCUUUAAGAAAUUAGAAUUAAAGGAAUCAGAAUUGAAGUGAAUCUGACUACACUAAGCCUAUCACUUGUGACAGCCAUGGGAAGAUAUCAUUGGUUGCUGAGGAGCAGAAAUAAGCAGAGACCUAUUGUGUUAGGUUAUCAUUCAUUUCAGACAAAAAGCAGAUCAGCAAGUUUUCAUAUUGCACUAUUUUCAAUGGCUGGAGCAUCAACAUUUUACAACAAGAAAAAAAUUAAAAUUCUUCAACAUUUGGAAAAGAAGUGUUUGUAAAACUUUUCACAUCCAUUCACCAUCCGGAAAAGCAAGGUUUUACAGUGAGGCCUGAUGAUGUCUAGAGUCACCAUGCAUCUUGGAAAAUGACCUCCUAUUUAUUUCUUCUACAGGACACCAUGGUGUUCACCUUUCUACAACUUUACACUUGCUGAGGACAUAUUGUGGAAAAUUAAGAGAAAUAUAUAUGGAUGGCCAAGGCUGUAGAUGGAUGUCCAAGCCUUUUUACUGGGGAAUGUUUUCAGAACAAAAUGAGUUACAGGUUCAAGAGUGAAACCCAACAAAUCUUGGCUCUUUUUUUCUCUACUAAAUUCCAAAUCAAAAG
ensembl:lncRNA LINC02207 long intergenic non-protein coding RNA 2207